rnacentral:rRNA from 1 species
GAUGAACGCUGGCGGCGUGCCUAAUACAUGCAAGUCGAGCGAACGGACGAGAAGCUUGCUUCUCUGAUGUUAGCGGCGGACGGGGGAGUAACACGUGGAUAACCUACCUAUAAGACUGGGAUAACUUCGGGAAACCGGAGCUAAUACCGGAUGAUAUUUUGAACCGCAUGGUUCAAAAGUGAAAGACGGUCUUGCUGUCACUUAUAGAUGGAUCCGCGCUGCAUUAGCUAGUUGGUAAGGUAACGGCUUACCAAGGCAACGAUGCAUAGCCGACCUGAGAGGGUGAUCGGCCACACUGGAACUGAGACACGGUCCAGACUCCUACGGGAGGCAGCAGUAGGGAAUCUUCCGCAAUGGGCGAAAGCCUGACGGAGCAACGCCGCGUGAAUGAUGAAGGUCUUCGGAUCGUAAAACUCUGUUAUUAGGGAAGAACAUAUGUGUAAGUAACUGUGCACAUCUUGACGGUACCUAAUCAGAAAGCCACGGCUAACUACGUG